AUUGAACGCUGGCGGAAUGCUUUACACAUGCAAGUCGAACGGCAGCACGGACUUCGGUCUGGUGGCGAGUGGCGAACGGGUGAGUAAUGUAUCGGAACGUGCCCAGUCGUGGGGGAUAACGUAGUGAAAAUUACGCUAAUACCGCAAACGAUCUAUGGAUGAAAGCGGGGGAUCGCAAGACCUCGCGCGAUUGGAGCGGCCGAUAUCAGAUUAGGUAGUUGGUGGGGUAAAGGCCCACCAAGCCAACGAUCUGUAGCUGGUCUGAGAGGACGACCAGCCACACUGGAACUGAGACACGGUCCAGACUCCUACGGGAGGUAGCAGUGGGGAAUUUUGGACAAUGGGCGAAAGCCUGAUCCAGCCAUUCCGCGUGCAGGAUGAAGGCCCUCGGGUUGUAAACUGCUUUUGUACAGAACGAAAAGGUUUCUACUAAUACUAGGAGCUCAUGACGGUACUGUAAGAAUAAGCACCGGCUAACUACGUGCCAGCCGCCGCAGUAA
rnacentral:rRNA from 1 species